AUGCGUGAGGGGUGGACUCCACGACGGCGCCUCCAAGAAGGUGAAACGACGUCCACAGACGCCGACGCUGUCGGCCAGCAAGAGCGCGGCAAGCUUUCGCCCGGAGCAACACCCACACCCACACCCCCACGCAUAGCACCUCCGCUGACCCGCACACCUCCCACGAAGCCAUCGCGCCAUGACCAAGCAGGAGCCACCACAAUCCUCGUCGCCGGCCAGACGCCGACGAGCCGAACACGGCCGAAACAGGCCAGAUCCAGCAACCCACUGCUGCUGCUGCGCCACAGAAGAGCCCUGAGCAGGGAGGGAGGGCCGCCACCCCACCCCAACUCGCCGGACGAGCUACCAGAUCGGCAGUCGACCGGCCGAAGCCCCAGCCUGAACCACCACGGCACCUAG
rnacentral:rRNA from 1 species